UCGGAGUCCCGAAGAACCGAUUUAAAAUUCAUGCAACCCAGAUGAGCUGACGAGACCAGCACCGCCAGAGGCGCUAGUGUAUUUUACUCAUAUUAUGGUAAAUUUAUUUGAAAGUGUUUGCUGUGAGUUUUGACAGUUUUGGCUGAUUGACGUCUUUGACAAAAUCGAAUGUACGCGCGCCAAAAAAGUGUUUUUGGUUUUUUCGCUUCUACAGUUUCCUUUUCGUUUUCGGGAUUAUUGAAAUUAAAACUGUUAUCUGGUUCUACAAUUAAUUUAUAUCCCGUCUAAAGCAUCCGUAAAUUCCUCACCAUGUUGAUUUGAUUGAAUCACAAGUUAUUGACACCGAUAGAGAACUAUUUAUAUACCGUCAAGGGGCGGAAAGGGAAAUUGGAGCAGCACAGGAUCGGCAGCCGAGGAAAAACGGUGACCGCGAAAUAGCCUAUCACAAAAUGUUGAGAAUGAACCUUGUGCCCCCUAGUUGGCAAAAACCUAAGGAACCGGAGCGGGAGCGAAACAAGGCACUUUCCGCUGAAAACUUCUACGUGACCUUCCUGGAACGAUCGGCUAAUCAACCGUGGAAAAAUAAUUCUCUACUGGUCCAUGGAUGUGCUGCGUCAUCUUCUUCUCGUCUCGGUUUCGAUCGAAAACCUUGGAUUUCCUCCUGAAUCAGCAGUAAACCUGCGCCAAACUGCGGAAAUUGUUUCCGAGUACAUAGCAGCCGACUGCUGAACUGCACCUUCGUCAUGGAAUGUUUUCGGCACUUUUAAGUUUUCCGUUUGCUGUUCCCCAGGAGAUCCAUACGUCGAGCACCUGUGCCAAUCUUUACUGCGGCAAAUGCCUCCGGGUACAUAGCAGCCGACUGCUAAGCUAUGCCUUCAUCGCGGAUUCUUGGAAAAAACGUUCUAUUCCUGCUAUUUUGGGAAGUAUCAAGUUUUCCGCUUGCUGUUUCCGGUAGAUCCAUACAACGUGCACCGACAAGCACUACCACCACUCGGAUAACUUCGCCAUUAUUUAUAAAAAUCUUUAAUUUAAGUAUUGAAAUGGAAUAAAAAUAAACAUCGAUGGAAAAAAUAAACUGUAAACAACUCUAUGAGGGCUGGCUGGGAACUGCCCAAAUGGUUCUCUACCCUACUUUGGACUCCGCAAGACACUCCGAUCGAAUAGAGUUCGCCGCCGUACCAAACUGACACUCUACAAAACGCUCAUUAGACCGGUAGUACUCUACUGACACGAGACCUGGACGAUGCUCGUGGAGGACCAAUGCGC